rnacentral:rRNA from 1 species
CCUACGGGGCGCUGCAGUGGGGAAUAUUGGACAAUGGGCGAAAGCCUGAUCCAGCCAUGCCGCGUGUGUGAAGAAGGCCUUCGGGUUGUAAAGCACUUUCAGUGGGGAAGAAAGCCUUGGGGCUAAUACCCUCGAGGAAGGACAUCACCCACAGAAGAAGCACCGGCUAACUCCGUGCCAGCAGCCGCGGUAAUACGGAGGGGCGAGGCGUUAAUCGGAAUUACUGGGCGUAAAGCGCGCGUAGGCGGUCUGAUAAGCCGGUUGUGAAAGCCCCGGGCUCAACCUGGGAACGGCAUCCGGAACUGUCAGGCUAGAGUGCAGGAGAGGAAGGUAGAAUUCCCGGUGUAGCGGUGAAAUGCGUAGAGAUCGGGAGGAAUACCAGUGGCGAAGGCGGCCUUCUGGACUGACACUGACGCUGAGGUGCGAAAGCGUGGGUAGCAAACAGGAUUAGAUACCCGGGUAGUC